AGAGUUUGAUCCUGGCUCAGGACGAACGCUGGCGGCGUGGAUUAGGCAUGCAAGUCGAACGCGAACGAAAGUCUUCGGAUUUUCAAGUAGAGUGGCGAACGGGUGAGUAACGCGUAGAUAAUCUAUCCAUAAGUGGGGGAUAGCCUCGGGAAACCGAGAUUAAUACCGCAUGUGUUCCUUAAUAUUAAUUAUUUUGGAAUAAAGGUGGCCUCUGUUAACAAGCUAUUGCUUAUGGGUGAGUCUGCGUCCUAUUAGUUAGUUGGUUGGGUAAUGGCUGACCAAGGCGAUGAUAGGUAGGCGGCCUUAACGGGUGGUCGCCCACACUGGGAUUGAGAUACGGCCCAGACUCCUACGGGAGGCAGCAGUCGAGAAUAGUCUACAAUGGACGAAAGUCUGAUAGUGCGACGCCGCGUGGAUGAAGAAGCAUUUCGGUGUGUAAAGUCCUUUUCUUUGUGAGCAAUGCUCUUAAUAUUAACAGUAUUAGGAGAGAGAUAUUAGCAGAGGAAUAAGCUCCGGCUAACUCCGUGCCAGCAGCCGCGGUAAUACGGGGGGAGCGAGCGUUACUCGGAAUCACUGGGCGUAAAGGGUGCGUAGGCGGUCAGAUAAGUUGGGAGUGAAAUCCUAUGGCUCAACCAUAGAACUGCUUCCAAAACUGUCUGACUAGAGUUCGGGAGAGGCCAAGGGAAUUCCUGGUGUAGGGGUGAAAUCCGUAGAGAUCAGGAGGAAUGCCGAAAGCGAAGGCGCUUGGCUGGAACGUUACUGACGCUGAGGCACGAAAGCGUGGGGAGCAAACAGGAUUAGAUACCCUGGUAGUCCACGCCCUAAACG
rnacentral:rRNA from 1 species